AAAUUGAAGAGUUUGAUCAUGGCUCAGAUUGAACGCUGGCGGCAGGCCUAACACAUGCAAGUCGAACGGUAACAGGAAGCAGCUUGCUGCUUCGCUGACGAGUGGCGGACGGGUGAGUAAUGUCUGGGAAACUGCCUGAUGGAGGGGGAUAACUACUGGAAACGGUGGCUAAUACCGCAUAACGUCGCAAGACCAAAGAGGGGGACCUUCGGGCCUCUUGCCAUCAGAUGUGCCCAGAUGGGAUUAGCUAGUUGGUGAGGUAACGGCUCACCAAGGCGACGAUCCCUAGCUGGUCUGAGAGGAUGGCCAGCCACACUGGAACUGAGACACGGUCCAGACUCCUACGGGAGGCAGCAGUGGGGAAUAUUGCACAAUGGGCGCAAGCCUGAUGCAGCCAUGCCGCGUGUAUGAAGAAGGCCUUCGGGUUGUAAAGUACUUUCAGCGGGGAGGAAGGUGUUG
rnacentral:rRNA from 1 species